CUUCGCAGAAGUGAACUGGUUUUUACAGAAAUUUUACAAAAUUUCAAGUGGGAAAGACUGGAAACUCUUCUUUCUGGCAAUCGUUUCGCUCUUCUUCUUGUCAUUUAUAGGGAGUUGUUUUAGCCCUUUGAAUCUUAUAUUCAUCGUUAUUUUCGGCAUGCAAGUAUCACUACCUUUGUAUGAAAGAUAUGAAAUGGCAGUGGAUAAUUUUGCUCUGCAAGGCUACCAUGAGGUGAAGAAAUUGUGCACAGAAUUUGUUUCCACAGUUCUUGACAAGAUCCCAA